rnacentral:lncRNA from 12 species
AUGUUGCCAUUAAAUGCUAUUAGACUGAAUUAUCCUAUUCUUCACUGGCCAGAUCUCUGCAGGAUCUGCAAGUUUGUCAAGUCAAAUAUACAGCCUAAUGAUGUUUCUUUAGCAUCUCAUUAUGCUAAUCAGUCGCUGGUUCAUGAGGGUCUACAGCGUGUUCCAGCAGCCCAUCGUGAUGAUCACUGCCUGCGUUUGUUCUGUCAGGUGUUUUGUUUCCUGAAGCUCUGAGAAGGUGCUGGAUUCACUCUCACACUCCAUUAGUGAUUGGCGUUUGAAAAAAAUCAUGAUGCACUUGUGCUUUUCAGCCUUUCGCUCCUCUUUACUUGAACUUGAAAUUCAGUAUAGCAUCUGUAAUACAGCCUUCAUGCUUUUAAUGUGAAACUAGUCACAGCUAGACAAACUUUCUUCUCAAACCUUAUAAACAGUAACUUAAACAACACUCUUUUUGCUACUACUGAGAGACUGACAACCCCCCCCCACCCCAACCUCAAGUCAAAUUUCCAGUGAAAUUCUCUGAGACAGCAAAUGCAAUGAGUGUGCUUCCAUCUUUUCCGAGAAGAUCAAUAAUAUCAGGAAGGCAAUUAGCACAUCCCCAAGUUAUGCAGAGGUCAGACAGAUUCGACUGCAAUAUCAAAAAGAAGAUACUAUGUCUGCUUUUGAAGAAACUCAUAGCAAAAUUUUGGAAGAAAUAGUACAGCACCUUAAAUCGCCAACCUGCUAUCUUGACACACUUCCCACAUAUUUUUUUACAAAAGUGUGCUUAACUGUUUAGAAGCAGAUCUCUUAGAAUUGGUGAACGCCUCACUUCUUUCUGGGACUUUUCCAAACUCCCUGAAAACUGCAGUUGUUAAACCCCUUCUGAAAAAGAGCAAUCUUGAUAACACCGUAUUGAGCAACUGUAGACCAAUAUCAAAUCUUCCUUUUAUAGGCAAGAUUCUUGAAAGGCAGUCUUUAAUGAGCUGAACAAAUACUUAAACUCAAAUGGAUACCUGGACAAUUUUCAAUCUGGUUUACGACCACAUCACAGCACAGAGACAGCGAUCAUUAAGAUAAUAAAUUAUAUUCGCUUUAAUUCUGAUUCUGGCAAAAUAUCAGUGCUGGUAUUAUGAGAUCUCAGUGCUGUGUUUGACACUGUUGAUCAUAACAUACUACUAGAGAGACUGGAAAACUGGGUCGGGCUUUCUGGGAUGGUACUCAAAUUGUUCAGGUCAUACUUAGAAGGGAGAGGUUAUUAUGUGAGUCUAGGAGAGCAUAAGUCUAAGUGGACGUCCAUGACAUGCGGAGUCCCACAAGGCUCAAUCCUUGCACCGCUCUUGUUUAACCUGUAUAUGCUCCUACUAAGUCAAAUAAUGGGAAAUAACCAAAUUGCCUAUCACAGCUAUGCUGAUGAUA